GAAGCGCUAAGUAGAAUUUGUUAAGCAACUCGUAUGUCAUGUGACAUUUAAGCUCUUUCCUGUUAGAACAAUACGUAAUUCUUAUGACUUUUCUAUAAAAGGAAAGCCACACAGACAUCUCAUUACUGCUUAUGGGUUUUUAUUGGAGAUUUCCAUAUUGUUGCAGCCUUAGAUAAAACUAUAGGAAAAAAUGAUUAUACUUAGGCUAGCUGUAUACAUCAAACAGUUGGAGGGCCCCUUCAAGCUAAACAGGUACUUGCCAGCAACCCUAGCAACCAAACUCAAACCAGGAGGAAAACAACCUUUCGUAAGGACCAGCAUGCCAGCUGUGACCUCAGAGAAGGCUCAGCUCCCAGAAAGAAGUCUGACCCAUCCUCCUCUUCCUGGCACAUAGUUCAACUCUUUGGGUUUGCUGCAGGGAAUGGAGCCAGAUCACUUCAAGAUCAAACGGAAGUGGUGGCCAGAAGAGAGUCCCUCCCACUAGUCACCCUUUUCGGUCCAUGUCUCUUGGGGAACCCCUGAUUCUCCUUCCUCAGUACUGCUGCUGGCAGAAUUCAGAAGUUUGGCAGAAUGGCCAGGAAUGGCCCUGUGCAGUGACGUCAUAAUUAUUUAGGGAAAAUUAUUCUUGAACAAAUAUAGAAAACUAGGACAGGACCAAGCUUGUGGAAGGAAAAACUUGACUCAAGAGGGGUCAAAAAACCUAUUUCUUUUAAUAUUGUAUAUUCAGCUUUUUGUGAGUCAAAAAAUGUGGAAAGUUCGAGGAACCAAGGGAGAGAAGAGUUGAGUGGGCUUUAGCCAAGUCUUGAGUCAAAAAAGUUUGUAUCUUGGUAUCAGUUUCCUUGAUAAACAGGUACUUAUUGCCCAGAAGAGCUACAAUCUCUUUAUUUUCUCCCGCCAAAAGUAAUACUCCAAUGACACCUCCUGCACCAUUUUGUUUAGAUUUUCUAGUUAACUCCCAGAAAAAUCAUGGUGGCAGCUUUAGAUUGUUUUCCUACUCAGUUCAUGUACAUUAAGAAAACAGAGACAAUUUUCAAAUGAAGUCCUAGCUAGCCCUGAAUAAUAUGAAAUUUUUAUAAGUAGGUACCCCCCCCCCUUUUCCCUCCCUGGUUCAAGUUUAGGACUAAGUGAAGAGGAACUGGAGAGUUUCCAGAGGAUAGUAAUGAAAAUGAUUAAAGGGCUGAUGAUGAAAGGUUCAAGGAAUUGGGAUUACUUAGCCUGGAGAAGAGAAAUUUGAGGGGUGAUUUAAUGGCAAUGUUCAAGUACAGUAUGUGGAGGGUUAUUACAAGUAUGGUAGCCAGCUGUUCCCCAGCUGUAUUGAAGGGUGGAAAAGGGAAACAACUAGAAUUUCAGCAAGUGAUUUAAGUUAGACCGGUGGUAUCAGUGAUUCCCAAAGUAGCUCAAGGUGUAGAAAACCACUGUGGAAGACCAUGAAAUACUGUUUCAAACUUAAAAUGUUUUUGCUAUAUCACAUACCAAGUUACACAUUAGUUUAACAAAAGCUUAUGGUAAAAUUAUAGAAAACAAACUCUAGACUGUGAAAAUGCUGCCUGGGAAGAUGAGCUGGGUGAAGACUUUCCUUCACCACGGGGACCCCAUGAUUUGGGGAGCCCAGGCUGGAAACCAGCAAGUUGUGAAGAGGAAACAGCUUGUCUUCAGGAAGGGACUCACUACCAUCUGGAUCAGGUGACUCUUCUUUCUGCUGACCCUGUUUUAUAUCUAUACCAAGCAACAAGGGGAGGCCUCAGUAGUACAACUGCUCUUGAGGAUGCAGGCCUAGGAGAUAGGUGAAGCCAUGCCAGCAACACCCCUCUGACAUGGUCUGCUGCUGUUCACAGCCUCAUUCUGGCCUAACCUGUAGAUUUAGUUCAUUACCAACUCUGAUCAUCAGGAACUUUACUCUUAAUAAAAUGACACUUUUAAAAAAAUGUUUUAUUACAAAGCUUCUUUUAAAAAAUGCUCAGCACGUUAACUCAAACUGGAAUGACAAAUGUUAGAUGACAAUUUGGGGCAAAGGCUGUGCCUUGCUAUUUAAAAAAAAAAAAAAUGGGUACAUCAAUGCUCAUUUUAACAACUGGCAUAAAAUCCCACUAAUUGGCUAAUAAAAACAGAUACAAAUACAGAACAUUUAAAGUAAUAACAAUUCAAGUGCUGGGCUUUUUACAACAAGGGAGUGAAAAGGAAAGAAAUGAAAAUUCACUGCAAACCAGUCUGCUGACAGUAUCUGUUAAGGUUUACCAUUUAAAAAAAGAAAAAAAAAAAGAAAAAGUGAGUGAAAUAGGAUUGCCAAUUGCUACCAACAGUGGAUUUGGCUAUUAUGUUUAUUUAGCUCUAUCGAACACCUUACAAGGACAGAGGCCAUUAUUCAUUACAGGCAAUUCACAGAGAAGCCACUUAUUAGACAAGAUGUCUCAGAAGAGGCUUCUUUUCAUUUUGUUUUUAUUUCAAACUUUUCCAGACCUUUGAAUUUUUUUUUAAAGCUCAUAGCUAGCAAAAUAUACAGGAAAAUUAAAACUAAGAAGUGUAAUUUUUAAAAAUUCAAGUUAAAAAAAAAAGAAGCAAACAUAAGAUUGAUCUUUUGCACUGUUAAAUAAAAGCUUUUAGGAGAAAGGAAGAGAAAGAAAAAUGAAGACAGAAACAAAGGGGGAACUCUUCCACAAAUUCCUCCACUGGGGUGCUGAUGGAUGUGCUGGUUGCUGGCUCCAGUUGCGCGUGGCAGGCACACGGAGCCAAGUUACUGUCCUUGCCAAAAGGUACAGGUAUGGACGCAAGAUGCUCUGGGACGUGCACUCAGAGACGAGGGGAGAAAAGCUGCUCAGCUGACCGGGGCCUGCUAGCAUUCUCAUGUGCUUUUUAAUUUCUUUUUCUAAAAAACAACCUUUUUAUGCUUUCUUUUGGAAAUUGGCUCUUGCAGUAGACAAAAGGUGAGUUGGCAGUGAUUGUCUCUAUGGAUCAGCGUCUCUAGCAAUGACCUCAGGGUAACGUUGGUGUCAGUGCUCCUUUGGGGUCGACUGGGCAAGCCGUGGAGACAGUCUGGGUUUUAACAAGCUUCCAUCUCCAGAAGAGGUCCUGGGGUCGCUGCCUUGGCUUUGCACGUUGGGAAUGAGCUUCGUUUUCCACCUCGGAAAGAAACAAAUGAAAUGCUAUUAAUAUGAAUUUGCCACUGGCCUUUAAAAGACUGUUGUAAAUAAUUUUUAUUACAUACAGCAUAUGUAGACUUUAAUUCAUUCAUUUUGUUGCUUUGAUGAUGGCUAAAAUGGAUUGCCCUAUGGUAGCCAAAACCCCUCAGAAUUAUAUCACAAAGUAUAGUGUAUUGAACAUUUUACUUUAGCUCCACGUAUGUGUAUGUACAGGGAUGUGACUUGAGAGGUAUUUAAUAUGUUGGGUCAUGGUUACAUAACACAUUUAAAAACACCAAUAUGAAGGGGCCAAACAUGAAUUGGAAAGGUGGGCAAUACAGCCAAACCAGGGAAAGGUUUGUCUUUUUCCCAAGUGUUUGGUGGUUUCAGUCCACUGAGGGGAGCCAUUGUAAGAGUCUACGCAGGACUAAAACAGAUUCAAAUUAUCAGAUGUGUCACCAACUCCCUCAAUAGCAAGCCCAACACAAACUGGAUGUACUGUGUCCACUCAGUCACAGUUCAAGGCACGUAAACCUCUCCACUUUUCCUUCAGGUGAUGCUAUCCUCAGGACUGUUUCCCCCUCCCCCCCCAUAACCUGUAACUUCUCUAAUGUUAGCCUGGGAACAGACCCUCAGCAAAUAUUUUAAAGUAACUGUUGCUAGAUACUGGUGGCAAUGAUGACUUUCAAAAAGGAAAACCCCAUUCUCAAAAUGAUAUAAUGAUUUGAGAGUUAAAAAGUGAUGAAAAGUAAAAUUUAACAUAAGGAGAAGAGAUGAAAGCAAAAGAACAGAACAUUAUGGCACAGCGCAGAGCAUUCCCCCAUGGCUCCAUCUGGCCACUGAGGACCAGAGAAGGUAGAGCACUUCAUCCAGAGUCCGCAAUGACCUCACAUGAGCCCAUCUCUCACUAUGGUGGCAUCCUCAGUACAAGCACAAGUUUCCUCUCAAUUAAUUCUACAUAAGACUGGGCUUCUGUAUGCUUUGCAUGUAAAGAGAAAUUGGAGGAGAAACAAAAAGGAGCUAUGAUUUUGUUUAAUAAUGAACACACAACUCUGGAAGGCUCUUCCACAGGACAAUGAUCUACAGAUGGGCUGUGGAUCUGUCUCCGGGCUGCUGUUAGCAGUAGUUUGCCCCAGACAUUUAAAUACCUUAAGUACACCAAGCCUGUGAGCAUGUUCUCUAAUAUUACUGCAAUUACUACCAGCAGUGUCUCUAAAAAUGCCUGAUCUGAAAUGUGAAGACACUAUUUGUGUACCUG
rnacentral:lncRNA from 1 species